ACUCCUACGGGAGGCAGCAGUAGGGAAUAUUGGUCAAUGGGCGAGAGCCUGAACCAGCCAUGCCGCGUGCAGGAAGACGGCUUUCUGAGUUGUAAACUGCUUUUGUAUGGGAAGAAAAAGUCCUUGCGAGGAAAAUUGCCGGUACCGUACGAAUAAGCACCGGCUAACUCCGUGCCAGCAGCCGCGGUAAUACGGAGGGUGCAAGCGUUGUCCGGAUUUAUUGGGUUUAAAGGGUGCGUAGGCGGAUCUUUAAGUCAGUGGUGAAAUCCUGCAGCUUAACUGUAGAACUGCCAUUGAUACUGGAGGUCUUGAGUAUACUAGAGGUAGGCGGAAUUUAUGGUGUAGCGGUGAAAUGCAUAGAUACCAUAAAGAACACCAAUAGCGUAGGCAGCUUACUGGAGUAUAACUGACGCUGAGGCACGAAAGCAUGGGUAGCGAACAGGAUUAGAUACCCCUGGUAGACUGUCA
rnacentral:rRNA from 1 species